AUUGAACGCUGGCGGCAUGCCUUACACAUGCAAGUCGAACGGUAACAGGUCUUCGGAUGCUGACGAGUGGCGAACGGGUGAGUAAUACAUCGGAACGUGCCUAGUAGUGGGGGAUAACUACUCGAAAGAGUGGCUAAUACCGCACGAGAUCUACGGAUGAAAGCAGGGGAUCGCAAGACCUUGCGCUACUAGAGCGGCCGAUGGCAGAUUAGGUAGUUGGUGGGAUAAAAGCUUACCAAGCCGACGAUCUGUAGCUGGUCUGAGAGGACGAUCAGCCACACUGGGACUGAGACACGGCCCAGACUCCUACGGGAGGCAGCAGUGGGGAAUUUUGGACAAUGGGCGCAAGCCUGAUCCAGCAAUGCCGCGUGCAGGAUGAAGGCCUUCGGGUUGUAACUGCUUUUGUACGGAACGAAAAGCCCUGGGUUAAUACCCUGGGGUCAUGACGGUACCGUAAGAAUAAGCACCGGCUAACUACGUGCCAGCCGCCGCUGUAACAC
rnacentral:rRNA from 1 species